GUGCAGCAGGCGCGAAACCUUUACAAUGCACGAAAGUGUGAUAAGGGGACNCUCAGUGCUCAUAUUUAUCNUGGGCUUUUGCCAAGCGUAAAUAUCAUUGUGNGAAUAAGUGGUGGGCAAGACCCGUGCCCAGCCGCCGCGGUAACACCAGGCGCCACAAGUGGCAAAUCACGUUUAUUGGGNCUAAAGCGUCCGUAGNCGGUUUGGUAAAUCUCUUUGUGAAAAUCGUCGCAGCUUAACCNGUUCGGCNUGCNNGNGACACUGUCAGACUUGAGACCGGGAGGAGGUAAGAGGUAUUCCAAGGGUAGUAGUAAAAUCUUAUAAUCCCNGGUGGACCACCAAUGGCGAAGGCAUCUUACCAGAACGGAUCUGACGGUGAGGGACGAAAGCNAGGGGNGCGAUCCGGAUUAGAUACCCGAGUAGUCCNAGCCGUAAACGCUGUNNGCUAGGUGUUAGCUCUCCNUACGACCGACUUGCAGUGUCGNAAGNGAAGCCGUUAAAGCUACGCCGCCUGGAAG
rnacentral:rRNA from 1 species